UGGGGAAUUUUCCGCAAUGGGCGCAAGCCUGACGGAGCAAUACCGCGUGAGGGAGGACGGCUUUUGGGUUGUAAACCUCUUUUAUCAGGGAAGAAACGAUGACGGUACCUGAUGAAUCAGCAUCGGCUAACUCCGUGCCAGCAGCCGCGGUAAUACGGAGGAUGCAAGCGUUAUCCGGAAUUAUUGGGCGUAAAGCGUCCGUAGGUGGUUUUGUAAGUCUUUUGUCAAAGCGUGCAGCUUAACUGCAUACAGGCGGAGGAAACUACGAAACUAGAGUGCGAUAGGGGUCACAGGAAUUCCCAGUGUAGCGGUGAAAUGCGUAGAUAUUGGGAAGAACACCAGCGGCGAAAGCGUGUGACUGGGUCUGCACUGACACUGAGGGACGAAAGCUAGGGGAGCG
rnacentral:rRNA from 1 species